UCCAUCAUUUGGGUCAUAUAUAGUUCAAUUCAGUGAAGCAGACAGGGGCUGUAAGGAAAUCUGGAGCUGAUCAAUGCCUUGUCUGGGAGGCUCACAAGCUGCUGAUAUAUGCUAGCAAAACUCAUGCCUCAACUCUACCUCGGGCACAGCGCAGGCCGGCUGACAACAAUAAUUCCAUUUUCUUAAAAAAAACUUAGUUUCAAUUGUGGGGAAGACGUCUUCCUUCCUACAGUAACUGCAACAUUUUUGACAAAGAUCCAACAUUCUGCCUGACGUAAUGCAACUUGUUCCGAGAGUGGUCUCCUUCGCUGCUGCUGGGCAGUUCCAAUGCAUCAUUAACAUCUGGAUCAAACGAAAACAUCUAUGAAACAGUUUUUCCUUUUUGAUGGCUUCAGUGAACAUUCAACGCUGUCGGCUUAUAAGCUUCUUCCAGCUGAAAUCUUCAUUCGAAUUCUCACAGGUUAGUAUAGUGGAAACAUUGGAGUUGGUAUUCAGUAAGGAUUGAAUAGAAUGCAAGAUCUAAUCCAGUCAAAGGUACCUUCUGACAUUCUGUCUAUAGUUCAUAAUAUUUUACUUUUAAAAGUAUUUUAAACCUUGAAAACCAACUGUUACAGCAAUAUUUCUGCAAUUCAUCACAGCUACAACCCACAGGAUACCAAAGAGAAAGUUUAACAGAUUAAAUGGUGGAUCUACAGGAAGGAUGGAAGAAGUGAGGCAAGAUGUGAAUUUGAAAAUGAAACAUUUACAGUGUUGCAUUUUCCAACCCCAGAAAACAGCUGAGAAAAAUGCGCAUGGUAUAACAGAGGUAUUUCCAGGAUGGUCUCUAUAGUGGUGGGAUAACUCCAGAGUAAUCCUCAAGGUUGUCACCAUGGAAGCCAUGCAUUAACUGAAUCAAGGGAUGCAAACCUCAACCAAAGGCAAGGGUCUGUGAAGCUCUCAAUGAUUAUGCAGGAAAUAUGAUAUCCAUUACACAUCAUUUUUAUUCUCAUCGUUGGUUGGUUGAGAAGUGAUGUGUGAAUGUCUGUACAUUGGUAAAGAUGCAAUGCCACAUCUGUGUUUAGAAAUGCUACACUUUGUACAUAUAAAGAGAAUGUGCACACUACACCCUCAGGGUGAAUAGGUUUUUCACUCCCCUGCAACAAGAAAACAAGUUUUGCUCCACACCACUGGCACUAUAUGUCAAAGGCAUCAACUAUGUUGCACUUAUACAAUAUAACUGACCCCUAGUUACUCAAAGUGUGGAAUCAGAAUCAAAUAUUAAGCUAGGUAGCCUUCAUGGUUUUUAUUGGUGGUAUUCCAAAUUUAUUAAAUUCAAUUUCACAGCUUGCCAUGGUAGAAUUUGAACUCAUAACCUCUGGAAUUGCUUGUCCAAAACCAUAAACAGUAGGAUCUGCAACCAGUAUAGUCUUUAACUGUUAAUUAAUAGAGACAUCAAUCACAAUCGGUGGUGUGCUCCAUCCCCACUGUGACUAACAUUCUUUGUGUAAUUGUCAAUAUAUUUUAGAUUUGGAUUCAAAGCAGCACUAAAUUUUAUUGAUCCAGUUACCUCAGUCAUGAUUAGUAAACCUUUGAUAUGAUUUUCUAAUAGAUGUGCCUUAGUAACAAGACACUUACACACACAAUACAUCUUUAAUGAUGAUGGACUAUGAACAGUAUUGCCUAACAUGACCAAUCAACAAUCACACAAGUCAUCACAAGGCUUCCCUCCAAGUUUUUGGUCAAUUUGUGUUAUAUUUAAUAGAAGAAUUAGCAUUUUCUUAGUGAUAUAGUUUAUCACCUUCACCUUUUUCUCCAUCAAAACUAACAUCCAUGUUAUUAUCUCAAUAAUAAAUCUCCCUGUGUUGUUCUUUUUAUUCUGUCUUAUAAAUAAUCCUAUGACAAGCCUUUAAUAGGUUAACCCACCCCACCGCCAAGUAAAACAAUAAAACAAUGAAAUGUUCUUCCCUGCACCCCUCUUCCCAAAACAACCCAUUCAAAUUCCAGGCAAAAAACAAGGGGCUGAAGGAAUUCAGAGGAAUGCAGCAUAUGAGGAGGGAAAAGAAAAGAGAUUUCAUAUCAAAACCCUUCUUCAAACUAAUGGACAGGGAGGAGAAAGCCUGCAGAAUGCAGUUUACUGUACAUUAUGUGUAGGAAGGAACUGCAGAUGCUGGUUUAAACCGAACAUAGACACAAUAUGCUGGAGUAACUCAGCGGGGCAGGCAGCAUUUCUGGAGAA